GAGAUAUUAGUAAAAUAUUACACUGCUUUGUCAAAGCAGAGUUGGCAGUUAAACCCUACCAUAUCUUA
rnacentral:tRNA from 1 species